rnacentral:rRNA from 1 species
GAUGAACGCUGACAGAAUGCUUAACACAUCAGCAAUGGAUUGGUGGCGGACGGGUGAGGAACGCGUAAAGAACUUGCCUCACAGCUAGGGACAACAUUUAGAAAUGAAAGCUAAUACCUGAUCCUGUGAGAGAGCUUUGCGUCCCAUUAGCUAGUUGGCGAGGUAACAGCUCACCAAGGCGAUGAUGGGUAGCCGGACUGAGAGGGUGAACGGCAACAAGGGGACUGAGACACCGCCCUUACUCCUACGGGAGGCAGCAGUGGGGAAUAUUGGACAAUGUACCGAAGUCUGAUCCAGCAAUUCUGUGUGUACGAUGAAGUUGUCGGAAUGUAAAGUGCUUUCAGUUGGGAAGCGGUACCAACAGAAGAAGUGACGGCUAAAUACGUGCCAGCAGCCGCGGUAAUUC